ensembl:piRNA 21ur-6316 ncRNA
UUUUACGAACAAUAACAAAAG